AUCGCUUCUCGGCAUUUUGGCAAAGAUCAAAGUGUAUCAUCUGUUAUCAGCCUAAUAUCUGAUACGUCCUCCAUCGCAGAACCAGAACAUUAAACUCUGUUUCGGUUCAUCACGGAGUGCUGGGGUCUUGCUCUACCUCUGUCAUGGAUUGGCUCAGAAUAGCACUACUACCGGGAUCAAAAACAAU